GAGGCCUCUCCAUUUCCAUUGAUUCAGUCUCCCCAAGCUAAAACUCCCCCUCUGAGCACUUGGGAAUUCAUCAAAGUUUGGUUUUUGAUUAAAGAGCCUUUGAAUCGUUUUGUUCGAUGAGUUGGUCCAGGAUAAAGCCGUCAAGAUAUUGAUCAAUCUAAUGGCUCUCAUGCAUGUUAUUGGAACUUCCUCUCAGCAACUUAUUGAUCAUGGACACCAAAUGAUGGAUGAGACUGAUCAAGCGAUUGAUAGAGCACAAAGGUUCUUCAUCAGACUAUCAACUGAGGACUAUGACUUUGAAUGCUUUUGGGGUUUUCUACAGUAUAUGCAGGUUUUAAGUUCUGAUUUUUAGUGAAGAUACUACUAAGCUUCCUCUGCCAUAUCUUAAAGUCUGAUAUCUUACUGUACGACCAGUAUGGAAACCAAUUGCAUGUCAUAGUGAUUGGCUAUGAUCACAAUUUAUUUUUAACAAUGAAGGGAUUCAACAGCAGGUCACCAAGGGUGACGAAAAGCAAGCAGAAGAUCAGGAGAUACAGUUAUGAAAGUUAAUAUUCUAGAUAUAUGUUCUGUUACAGUUUGGCACCAGAUAUGAGAUCAAUGAAAUUUAUGUAACGUUUUUCUCCUUGAUUGAUAAAAUGAUUAAUCACUGCAGCUAUUGGUCUCUGUUACUAUACUUUGAUAACAUUG